CUACGGGAGGCUGCAGUGGGGAAUAUUGCACAAUGGGCGCAAGCCUGAUGCAGCCAUGCCGCGUGUAUGAAGAAGGCCUUCGGGUUGUAAAGUACUUUCAGCGGGGAGGAAGGGAGUAAAGUUAAUACCUUUGCUCAUUGACGUUACCCGCAGAAGAAGCACCGGCUAACUCCGUGCCAGCAGCCGCGGUAAUACGGAGGGUGCAAGCGUUAAUCGGAAUUACUGGGCGUAAAGCGCACGCAGGCGGUUUGUUAAGUCAGAUGUGAAAUCCCCGGGCUCAACCUGGGGACGGCAUCUGAUACUGGCAAGCUUGAGUCUCGUAGAGGGGGGUAGAAUUCCAGGUGUAGCGGUGAAAUGCGUAGAGAUCUGGAGGAAUACCGGUGGCGAAGGCGGCCCCCUGGACGAAGACUGACGCUCGGGUGCGAAAGCGUGGGGAGCAAACAGGAUUAGAUACCCCGGUAGUC
rnacentral:rRNA from 1 species